AACCAGGAGACAGGUGCUGCAUGGCUGUCGUCAGCUCGUGUCGUGAGAUGUUGGUUAAGUCCCGCAACGAGCGCAACCCUUAUCUUUAAUUGCCAGCAUUCAGUUGGGCACUUUAAGAGACUGCCGGUGUUAAACCGGAGGAAGGUGGGGAUGACGUCAAGUCCUCAUGGCCUUUAUGCUUAGGGCUACACACGUGCUACAAUGGGUGGUACAAAGAGAAGCCAACUCGCGAGAGCGCGCCAAUCUCAAAAAGCCAUCCUCAGUUCGGAUUGGAGUCUGCAACUCGACUCCAUGAAGUUGGAAUCGCUAGUAAUCGCGGAUCAGCAUGCCGCGGUCGAAUACGUUCCCGGGCCUUGU
rnacentral:rRNA from 1 species